CACGUAGGGGGCGAGCGUUGUCCGGAUUCAUUGGGCGUAAAGCGCGCGCAGGCGGCUUGGUAAGUCGGGUGUGAAAACUCGGGGCUCAACCCCGGGCGUGCAUCCGAUACUGCCAGGCUUGAGGCAGGUAGGGGAGAUCGGAAUUCCUGGUGUAGCGGUGAAAUGCGCAGAUAUCAGGAGGAACACCGGUGGCGAAGGCGGAUCUCUGGGCCUGUCCUGACGCUGAGGCGCGAAAGCUAGGGGAGCGAACAGG
rnacentral:rRNA from 1 species